ACUCCUACGGGAGGCAGCAGUGGGGAAUAUUGCACAAUGGGGGGAAACCCUGAAUGCAGCCAUGCCGCGUGUGUGAAGAAGGCCUUCGGGUUGUAAAGCACUUUCAGUAGGGAGGAAGGUAGUGUAGUUAACACCUGCACUAUUUGACGUUACCUACAGAAGAAGCACCGGCUAACUCCGUGCCAGCAGCCGCGGUAAUACGGAGGGUGCGAGCGUUAAUCGGAAUUACUGGGCGUAAAGCGCAUGCAGGCGGCCUGUUAAGUCAGAUGUGAAAGCCCGGGGCUUAACCUCGGAAUUGCAUUUGAAACUGGCAGGCUAGAGUCUUGUAGAGGGGGGUAGAAUUUCAGGUGUAGCGGUGAAAUGCGUAGAGAUCUGAAGGAAUACCAGUGGCGAAGGCGGCCCCCUGGACAAAGACUGACGCUCAGAUGCGAAAGCGUGGGGAGCAAACAGGAUUAGAUACCCUGGUAGACUGU
rnacentral:rRNA from 1 species